rnacentral:rRNA from 1 species
UACGUAGGGAGCAAGCGUUGUCCGGAUUCACUGGGCGUAAAGGGUGCGCAGGCGGCUCGGUAAGUCAGAGGUGAAAUCUCACAGCUCAACUGUGAAACUGCCUUUGAUACUGCUGAUCUUGAGUUAGGGAGAGGUUGAUGGAAUUCCAGGUGUAGCAGUGAAAUGCGUAGAUAUCUGGAAGAACACCAGUGGCGAAGGCGGACAACUGGCCCUAAACUGGCGCUGAGGCGCGAAAGCGAGGGGAUCAAACAGG